CCUACGGUGGGCUGCAGUAGGGAAUAUUGCUCAAUGGGGGAAACCCUGAAGCAGCAACGCCGCGUGAAGGAUGAAGGUUUUAGGAUUGUAAACCCUUUUUGUUAGAGAAGAUAAUGACGGUAUCUAACGAAUAAGCACCGGCUAACUCGGUGCAAGAAGCCGCGGUAAUACGGAGGGUGCCAGCGUUACCCGGAAUAACUGGGCGUAAAGAGCGUGUAGGCGGGAUAGCAAGUCAGAUGUGAAAUCCUAUGGCUUAACCAUAGAAUUGAAUUUGAAACUGUUAUUCUUGAGUAUGGGAGAGGUAGGUGGAAUUCUUGGUGUAGGGGUAAAAUCCGUAGAUAUCAAGAGGAAUACUCAUUGCGAAGGCGACCUGCUAGAACAUAACUGACGCUGAUGCGCGAAAGCGUGGGGAGCAAACAGGAUUAGAUACCCCUGUAGUC
rnacentral:rRNA from 1 species